GGCGGACGGGUGAGUAAUGUCUGGGAAACUGCCUGAUGGAGGGGGAUAACUACUGGAAACGGUAGCUAAUACCGCAUAAUGUCGCAAGACCAAAGUGGGGGACCUUCGGGCCUCAUGCCAUCAGAUGUGCCCAGAUGGGAUUAGCUAGUAGGUGGGGUAACGGCUCACCUAGGCGACGAUCCCUAGCUGGUCUGAGAGGAUGACCAGCCACACUGGAACUGAGACACGGUCCAGACUCCUACGGGAGGCAGCAGUGGGGAAUAUUGCACAAUGGGCGCAAGCCUGAUGCAGCCAUGCCGCGUGUGUGAAGAAGGCCUUCGGGUUGUAAAGCACUUUCAGCGGGGAGGAAGG
rnacentral:rRNA from 1 species